CUUUCUAACGGCUACCUGGGGAGCCGCCUGGUGGAUCCAGCAUGCAACGCCAUAUGGACCCUGCUAGGGCGAAGGGCAGAUUGUCAUGUUCCAUGCGGGCCUGGGAUGAUGGGCAUUGGAGUAGAAGGAGAGGCUCCUUCUACUAUUGCCUGUCUUCAGCAGGCAGCAAUUUCUAGGCUUUCCGUUUCUUUAUGUCUAACAACUGUGUGGGAAAAUCUCUGUGGAGGCUGAAAAAGGAACAGGAGCCUCUCUUUGAAGCCCAGGUUGCGUCAUGUGGUUGUUGGCAAUCUCAGCGCUGAAGUGAGGGAAACUAAGAGGGCCGACAGAGUCACAGGAUGGGAAGUGAAGGCUUAGGAAAGUUAAGAUUUGUAUUGAUAUUUUAUUUCCAUUAUUUCAGCUGCCUUUUCAAAUUCAUGCCUCUGGGCAGCUAACAGAGGUUCAAAACAGCAAGUUGUGGCAGCAAAAAUGGGAAGAAUCCAGAAGAAACUAUCUAGCUUGAAAAAGGGGCAUCAAAAGGAAACCAGUUCCAAAAUGGAGACAAAACUCAAACUCAUGGAAGUUUUAGAAAUUUUACCUCAAAACAAGGCGCCAUGAUGGAGAGAUGAAUGGUGCUUCAUAGGUGACUGGAGGAAAGGUGGAUUACAAAAUGAAGGAAGGCAAAUCUUGAGAAGUACACAUAAAGCUCAAAUUCCAUGAGGUAAAAGAGUUGAAGACUGCCAUGAUUUGAAGUGUGGAUUUGGAGGUGAUAGUGCAAGAACAACAAAGAGAUUUAUCUAAAUUAAUGAAAUAAAGAAAUGGGGAAAUUAAGUUAAGAAGCAAUUGAAAAAGAAUGGAAUUAAUAUCUCUCUUGCCAAAAGCCUGCUUCUUUUGAGCCCACUUUUAUCAGUCAUCUGUAAGAGAAAAAAUUGAGAUCAUGGCUACUAAACCAAAAUUGGUGCCCUUUCACCUGUUUUAAUCCAGAAUCAUAAAUGACCACUAUUUGAAUAAAUAGCUCCAAAGUA